rnacentral:tRNA from 2 species
GCAUCCGUAGCUCAGCUGGAUAGAGUACUCGGCUACGAACCGAGCGGUCGGAGGUUCGAAACCUCCCGGAUGCACCA